GACGAACGCUGGCGGCGUGCUUAACACAUGCAAGUCGAACGGAAAGGCCUCGUUCGGGGGGUACGCGAGUGGCGAACGGGUGAGUAACACGUGAGUAACCUGCCCUUGACUUUGGGAUAACUUCAGGAAACUGGGGCUAAUACCCGAUAGGAGCGCCUGCUGCAGGGUGGGGGGUGUGAAGUUUCAGCGGUUGGGGAUGGGCUCGCGGCGUAUCUGCGUGUUGGUGGGGGAGUGGCUUACCAAGGCGUUGGCGGGUAGACGGCCUGGGAGGGUGACCCGCCACCAUGGGGCUGAGGGAAGGCCCCGGAUGCCAAGGGGGGGCACAGUGGGGAAUAUUGCACCAUGGGUGGCAGGCUGAUGCCGAAAGCCCGUGUGCGGGAUGACGGGCUUCGGGUUGUAAAACGGUUUCGGUCUUGAACAAGGUGUGUGUGACGGUAGUGGGUAAAGAAGCACCGGCUAACUACGUG
rnacentral:rRNA from 1 species